GAUGAACGCUGGCGGUAUGCCUAACACAUGCAAGUCGUACGAGAGUUUUUAACUCUAGUGGCGGACGGGUGAGUAACACGUGAGAAUUUGCCUUUAGGAGGGGGAUAACAAUUGGAAACGAAUGCUAAUACCCCCAUAAUAUCGCAAUGUCUUCGGACGUUAUGAUCAAAUGAUGGCCUCUAUUUAUAAGCUAUCGCUAAAAGAUGAGCCCACAUCCUAUCACGCUUGUUGGUGGGGUAAUGGCCCACCAAGCGACGACGGGUAGCCGGCCUGAGAGGGUGUCCGGCCACACUGGAACUGAGACACGGUCCAGACU
rnacentral:rRNA from 1 species